AUGACUAGCACCGACUUCUUCAGCAAGUUCCACGUGCGUUCGCUAAGGAGCAACAAGGACGCGAUGAUGUCUGCCCUCUACCUUCAAGUGAGCAUCAUCAGCCAGGCCUCAUCUUUGUCACCCGGUCGCGCUGCUGGUGCUUCCAGGAGCGCCCGGGGCUCUGGCUCUGCUUCGCCUUCGUCGUCGCGCAUAUCGUAA
rnacentral:rRNA from 1 species